UACAGAGGUCUCAAGCGUUGUUCGGAUUCAUUGGGCGUAAAGGGUGCGUAGGUGGCGCCGUAAGUCAGGUGUGAAAUUUCGGAGCUUAACUCCGAAACUGCAUUUGAUACUGCGGUGCUUGAGGACUGGAGAGGAGACUGGAAUUUACGGUGUAGCAGUGAAAUGCGUAGAGAUCAUGAGGAAGACCAGUGGCGAAGGCGGGUCUCGUGGACAGUUCCUGACACUGAGGCACGAAGGCCAGGGGAGCAAACGGG
rnacentral:rRNA from 1 species